rnacentral:rRNA from 1 species
UACCAGCUCCCCGAGUGGUAGGGACGAUUAUUGAGCUUAAAGCGUCCGUAGCCGGCUUGACAAGUCUUCCGUUAAAUCCAGCGACCCAAUCGCUGGACCGCGAAAGAUACUGUCAGGCUAGGGGGCGAGAGAGGCCGACGGUAUUCUCGGAGUAGGGGUGAAAUCCUAUAAUCCCGGGAGGACCACCAGUGGCGAAGGCGGUCGGCUAGAACGCGCUCGACGGUGAGGGACGAAAGCUGGGGGAG